rnacentral:misc_RNA from 1 species
GCAAACUUGGUCAUUUAGAGGAAGUAAAAGUCGUAACAAGGUUUCCGUAGGUGAACCUGCGGAAGGAUCAUCAAUGAAUUUCCAAAUUCAUUUGGCUUUUGGGGAGUUGGAUUCGUCUGGCACCCCCAUUGCCUUAUCAACCAUCAGUCCUCUGUCUAGCCAAGGUGUCUCGAGAUGCUCUUGUGGCAUCGUCACCCCGAGCCCUUUGCGAAGGCGUGGACUUUUUCGAGUAGUUUGGAGACAGGUUCGCUUAGUUUUUUUUGGCGGAGAGGCUCUUGCCUUUCCCCCAGCAUUACGGGCAGCCUCCUCUUACUCGUUACUGUGGGCAACAAAAAUAAAUUAAAAUACAACUUUUAACGAUGGAUCUCUUGGCUCCCGCAUCGAUGAAGAACGCAGC